rnacentral:tRNA from 1 species
ACUGGUGAACAGAGCUGGUAGCACUGGUUGGCCUCAUAAGCCAACAUUAGAAUGGUUCGAUUCCAUUCACCAGAA